AAUACGGAGGAUCCAAGCGUUAUCCGGAAUCAUUGGGUUUAAAGGGUCCGUAGGCGGUUUAGUAAGUCAGUGGUGAAAGCCCAUCGCUCAACGGUGGAACGGCCAUUGAUACUGCUAGACUUGAAUUAUUAGGAAGUAACUAGAAUAUGUAGUGUAGCGGUGAGAUGCUUAGAGAUUACAUGGAAUACCAAUUGCGAAGGCAGGUUACUACUAAUUGAUUGACGCUGAUGGACGAAAGCGUGGGUAGCGAACA
rnacentral:rRNA from 1 species